rnacentral:tRNA from 1 species
GCCCCGGUACUCCAAUGGCAGAGAGAGUGGUCUCAAACACCAUCCAGUGUGAGUUCGAAUCUCACCCGGGGCA